rnacentral:rRNA from 1 species
UACGGGGGGAGCAAGCGUUGUUCGGAUUUACUGGGCGGUAAAGGGCGCGUAGGUCGGUCAGCACAAGUUCAGUUGUGAAAUCUCCGGGCUUAACUCGGAAAGGUCAACUGAUACUGUGCGACUAGAGUGCAGAAGGGCAACUGGAUUCUCGGUGUAGCGAUGAAUGCGUAGAUAUCGAGAGGAACACCUGCGGCGAAGGCGGUGCUGGCUGAACACGUGACGCUGGAUGCGCGAAGCCAGGGA